CCGAAGACUUUAGCACUGGAGGGCCCUAGCGGGUGCUGACGCAAUGUGAUUUCCGCCGUGCUCUCAAUGUCAAAAUGAAGAAAUUCAAGCAAGCGCGGGUACACGGCGGGAGUAAGUAAGAAUCUCUUAAGGGAUGACUCCGGCCUUUAACCCUAGGCUUUCAUCCCUAGGGCACUGGCUAGGUCCGGUC
rnacentral:ncRNA from 1 species